GAUGAACGCUGGCGGCGUGCCUAAUACAUGCAAGUCGAGCGAACAGACGCGGAGCUUGCUCCUCUGACGUUAGCGGCGGACGUGUGAGUAACACGUGGAUAACCUACCUAUAAGACUGGGAUAACUUCGGGAAACCGGAGCUAAUACCGGAUAAUAUAUUGAACCGCAUGGUUCAAUAGUGAAAGACGGUUUUGCUGUCACUUAUAGAUGGAUCCGCGCCGCAUUAGCUAGUUGGUAAGGUAACGGCUUACCAAGGCAACGAUGCGUAGCCGACCUGAGAGGGUGAUCGGCCACACUGGAACUGAGACACGGUCCAGACUCCUACGGGAGGCAGCAGUAGGGAAUCUUCCGCAAUGGGCGAAAGCCUGACGGAGCAACGCCGCGUGAGUGAUGAAGGUCUUCGGAUCGUAAAACUCUGUUAUUAGGGAAGAACAAAUGUGUAAGUAACUAUGCACGUCUUGACGGUACCUAAUCAGAAAGCCACGGCUAACUACGUG
rnacentral:rRNA from 1 species